rnacentral:lncRNA from 1 species
AUGCCAGCAAAUUUGGAAACCUCAGCAAUGGACACAGGACUGGAAACGUCAGUUUUCAUUACAAUUCCAAAGAAAGGCAAUGCCAAGGAAUGCUCAAAGCACCACACAAUUGCAGUCAUCUCACAUGCUAGUAAAGUAAUGCUCAUAAUUGUACAAGCCAGGCUUCAGCAAUAUGUGAACUGUGAACUUCCUGAUGUUCAAGCUGGUUUUAGAAAAGGCAGAGGAACCAGAGAUCAAAUUGCCAAUAUCCGUGGAUCAUUGAAAAAGCAAGAGAGUUCCAGAAAAAACAUCUAUUUCUGCUUUAUUGACUAUGCCAAAUCCUCUGACUGUGUGGAUCACAAUAAACUGUGGAAAAUUCUGAAAGAGAUGGGAAUACCAGACCACCUAACCUGCUUCUUGAGAAACCUGUAUGCAGGUCAGGAAGCAACCGUUAGAACUGGACAUGGAACAACAGACUGGUUCCAAAUAGGAAAAGGAGUAUGUCAAGACUGUAUAUUAUCACCCUGCUUUUUAAACUUAUAUGCAGAGUACAUCAUGAGAAACGCUGGACUGGAAGAAGCACAAGCUGGAAUCAAGAUUGCUGGGAGAAAUAUCAAUAACCUCAGAUAUGCAGAUGACACCACCCUUAUGGCAGAAAGUGAAGAGGAACUAAAAAGCCUCUUGAUGAAAAUGAAAGAGGAGAGUGAAAAAGUUGUCUUAAAGCUCACCAUUCAGAAAACGAAGAUCAUGGUCCCAUCUGGUCCCAUCACUUCAUGGGAAAUAGAUGGGGCAACAGUGGAAACAGUGUCAGACUUUAUUUUUGGGGGCUCCAAACUCACUGCAGAUGGUGAUUGCAGCCAUGAGAUUAAAAGACGCUUACUCCUUGGAAGGAAAGUUAUGACCAACCUAGAUAGUAUUUUAAAAAGUAGAGAUAUUACUUUGCCAACAAAGGUCCAUCUAGUCAAGGCUAUGGUUUUUCCUGCGGUCAUGUAUGGAUGUGAGAGUUGGAAUGUGAAGAAAGCUGAGCACCAAAGAAUUGAUGCUUUUGAAGUGUGGUGUUGGAGAAGACUCUUGAGAGUCCCUUGGACUGCAAGGAGAUCCAACCAGUCCAUCCUAUGGAGAUCAGUUCUGGAUGUUCAUUGGAAGGACCGAUGCUGA